CUCCUAGCUGAAACUCAGACAGCUACCUGUUGCAGUGCAUCACCAUGGGCCUUGUGCUGAAGCAGUGGCUAUAAGUUGGGCCCCAUGGUGCUGGAGUAGUGCUGGGAGAGCUGCAGUCUGUGGGAAGCCCACAUGGGAUCACUUUGGGAAGGAUGGCAUCUUGUGGGAGGAAGCUACGUGGAACAGAGAGUGACCAUGGAAGAGCUGCAAAGCCAAAGGGUUUUGUACUGAGCACAGCCCUCAUUCCCUGUUACCCUGUGGAGCUCCGUGGGAGGAGCUGACCCAUUUUGUGGUGGAAGAAAAAUUGUGAAAUUUGAGGAUCAAAUUCCAGAGCAUUCAACCACGGAAUUUUUGUAUCGUCUUUAAGCAUCAGCCCUGAAACUACAAGAGGUUUUUAGCAGAGUGAAAGUGAUGCCCUCAGCCUCUGAGUUGCAUGCUGUAGGUAUUUCUAGCAGGUCAGGAGAGAAGAUUCUUCUCAUCUAGUCAGCAGAUAAGCGUUGUGUCCAGUUCUGUGCCCUCCAGUACAAGAGGGACAUGGACAUACUAGAGACAGUUCAAAGAAGGACCACUAAGAUAAUGAAGGAACUGGAGCACCUCUCCUGUGAAGAGAUGCUCAGACAGCUGAGUCUGUUCAGCAUGGAGAAAAAGGAGGCUCUGGGGGGUCUCAUAAAUGUCUGAAGGGAAGUCUCAAGGAGGACAGAACCAUGACCUUGUCAAUGCCAGUACAAAAAGUAAUGAACACAAACUGGAACGCAGGAGGUUCUCUCUGAAUUUCAGGAAGCAGGGGUUGGAGCAGAUGGACAUUCCAACCCUAACCAUUUUGUGAUUCUCUGAACCCAGAUCUCUGUUAAGACUCAUUGAUCCUACUGCCCAACAAACACAGUUAAUAAACAUGAG
ensembl:lncRNA